GACGAACGCUGGCGGCGUGCUUAACACAUGCAAGUCGAACGGAAAGGCCCUGCUUUUGUGGGGUGCUCGAGUGGCGAACGGGUGAGUAACACUUGAGUAACCUGCCCUUGACUUUGGGAUAACUUCAGGAAACUCGGGCUAAUACCGGAGAGAAGCUCCUGCUGCAUGGGGGGGGUUGGUAAGUUUCGGCGGUUGGGGAUUGACUCGCGGCUUAUCAGCUUGUUGGUGGGGUAGUUGCUUACCAAGGCUUUGACGGGUAGCCGGCCUGAUAGGGUGACAGGCCACAUUGGGACUGAGAUAAGGCCCAGAAUACUACGGGAGGCAACAGUAGCGAAUAUUGCACGAUGGGCGGAAGCCUGAAGCAGCAACGCCGCGUGCGGGAUGACGGCCUUCGGGUUGUAAACCGCGUUCGACUGUGACAAAGCGUGAGUGACGGUAAUGGGUAAAGAAGCAACGGCUAACUACGUG
rnacentral:rRNA from 1 species